rnacentral:rRNA from 2 species
GGUUAAGCGACUAAGCGUACACGGUGGAUGCCCUGGCAGUCAGAGGCGAUGAAGGGCGUGCUAAUCUGCGAUAAGCGCCGGUAAGGUGAUAUGAACCGUUAUAACCGGCGAUACCCGAAUGGGGAAACCCAGUGUGACUCGUCACACUAUCAUUAACUGAAUCCAUAGGUUAAUGAGGCGAACCGGGGGAACUGAAACAUCUAAGUACCCCGAGGAAAAGAAAUCAACCGAGAUUCCCCCAGUAGCGGCGAGCGAACGGGGAGGAGCCCAGAGCCUGAAUCAGCAUGUGUGUUAGUGGAAGCGUCUGGAAAGGCGCGCGAUACAGGGUGACAGCCCCGUACACAAAAGCGCAUGUGCUGUGAGCUCGAUGAGUAGGGCGGGACACGUGGUAUCCUGUCUGAAUAUGGGGGGACCAUCCUCCAAGGCUAAAUACUCCUGACUGACCGAUAGUGAACCAGUACCGUGAGGGAAAGGCGAAAAGAACCCCGGCGAGGGGAGUGAAAAAGAACCUGAAACCGUGUACGUACAAGCAGUGGGAGCACCCUUUGGGUGUGACUGCGUACCUUUUGUAUAAUGGGUCAGCGACUUAUAUUCUGUAGCAAGGUUAACCGAAUAGGGGAGCCGGAGGGAAACCGAGUCUUAACCGGGCGUUAAGUUGCAGGGUAUAGACCCGAAACCCGGUGAUCUAGCCAUGGGCAGGUUGAAGGUUGGGUAACACUAACUGGAGGACCGAACCGACUAAUGUUGAAAAAUUAGCGGAUGACCUGUGGCUGGGGGUGAAAGGCCAAUCAAACCGGGAGAUAGCUGGUUCUCCCCGAAAGCUAUUUAGGUAGCGCCUCGUGAAUUCAUCUCCGGGGGUAGAGCACUGUUUCGGCUAGGGGGCCAUCCCGGCUUACCAACCCGAUGCAAACUGCGAAUACCGGAGAAUGUUAUCACGGGAGACACACGGCGGGUGCUAACGUCCGUCGUGAAGAGGGAAACAACCCAGACCGCCAGCUAAGGUCCCAAAGUCAUGGUUAAGUGGGAAACGAUGUGGGAAGGCCCAGACAGCCAGGAUGUUGGCUUAGAAGCAGCCAUCAUUUAAAGAAAGCGUAAUAGCUCACUGGUCGAGUCGGCCUGCGCGGAAGAUGUAACGGGGCUAAACCAUGCACCGAAGCUGCGGCAGCGACACUGUGUGUUGUUGGGUAGGGGAGCGUUCUGUAAGCCUGUGAAGGUGUGUCGUGAGGCAUGCUGGAGGUAUCAGAAGUGCGAAUGCUGACAUAAGUAACGAUAAAGCGGGUGAAAAGCCCGCUCGCCGGAAGACCAAGGGUUCCUGUCCAACGUUAAUCGGGGCAGGGUGAGUCGACCCCUAAGGCGAGGCCGAAAGGCGUAGUCGAUGGGAAACGGGUUAAUAUUCCCGUACUUGGUGUUACUGCGAAGGGGGGACGGAGAAGGCUAUGUUGGCCGGGCGACGGUUGUCCCGGUUUAAGCGUGUAGGUGUGUGUUCCAGGUAAAUCCGGUUCACUUUAACACUGAGGCGUGACGACGAGGCACUACGGUGCUGAAGCAACAAAUGCCCUGCUUCCAGGAAAAGCCUCUAAGCAUCAGGUAACAUCAAAUCGUACCCCAAACCGACACAGGUGGUCAGGUAGAGAAUACCAAGGCGCUUGAGAGAACUCGGGUGAAGGAACUAGGCAAAAUGGUGCCGUAACUUCGGGAGAAGGCACGCUGACACGUAGGUGAAGUGAUUUACUCAUGGAGCUGAAGUCAGUCGAAGAUACCAGCUGGCUGCAACUGUUUAUUAAAAACACAGCACUGUGCAAACACGAAAGUGGACGUAUACGGUGUGACGCCUGCCCGGUGCCGGAAGGUUAAUUGAUGGGGUCAGCGCAAGCGAAGCUCCUGAUCGAAGCCCCGGUAAACGGCGGCCGUAACUAUAACGGUCCUAAGGUAGCGAAAUUCCUUGUCGGGUAAGUUCCGACCUGCACGAAUGGCGUAAUGAUGGCCAGGCUGUCUCCACCCGAGACUCAGUGAAAUUGAACUCGCUGUGAAGAUGCAGUGUACCCGCGGCAAGACGGAAAGACCCCGUGAACCUUUACUAUAGCUUGACACUGAACAUUGAGCCUUGAUGUGUAGGAUAGGUGGGAGGCUUUGAAGUGUGGACGCCAGUCUGCAUGGAGCCGACCUUGAAAUACCACCCUUUAAUGUUUGAUGUUCUAACGUGGACCCGUUACCCGGGUUGCGGACAGUGUCUGGUGGGUAGUUUGACUGGGGCGGUCUCCUCCUAAAGAGUAACGGAGGAGCACGAAGGUUGGCUAAUCCUGGUCGGACAUCAGGAGGUUAGUGCAAUGGCAUAAGCCAGCUUGACUGCGAGCGUGACGGCGCGAGCAGGUGCGAAAGCAGGUCAUAGUGAUCCGGUGGUUCUGAAUGGAAGGGCCAUCGCUCAACGGAUAAAAGGUACUCCGGGGAUAACAGGCUGAUACCGCCCAAGAGUUCAUAUCGACGGCGGUGUUUGGCACCUCGAUGUCGGCUCAUCACAUCCUGGGGCUGAAGUAGGUCCCAAGGGUAUGGCUGUUCGCCAUUUAAAGUGGUACGCGAGCUGGGUUUAGAACGUCGUGAGACAGUUCGGUCCCUAUCUGCCGUGGGCGCUGGAGAACUGAGGGGGGCUGCUCCUAGUACGAGAGGACCGGAGUGGACGCAUCACUGGUGUUCGGGUUGUCAUGCCAAUGGCACUGCCCGGUAGCUAAAUGCGGAAGAGAUAAGUGCUGAAAGCAUCUAAGCACGAAACUUGCCCCGAGAUGAGUUCUCCCUGAGACUUAGAGUCUCCUGAAGGAACGUUGAAGACGACGACGUUGAUAGGCCGGGUGUGUAAGCGCAGCGAUGCGUUGAGCUAACCGGUACUAAUGAACCGUGAGGCUUAACCUU